rnacentral:rRNA from 1 species
GACAGAGGGGGCAAGCGUUGCUCGGAAUUACUGGGCGUAAAGGGCGCGUAGGCGGGAUGGCAAGUCGGUCGUGAAAUCCCUCGGCUCAACUGAGGAUCGUCGAUCGAUACUGCCGUUCUUGAGGAUUGCAGAGGAGACUGGAAUUCCCGGUGUAGCGGUGAAAUGCGUAGAUAUCGUAAGGAAGACCAGUGGCGAAGGCGAGUCUCUGGACAGUUACUGACGCUGAGGCACGAAGGCCAGGGGAGCAAACGGG